rnacentral:rRNA from 1 species
AACGAACGCUGGCGGCAUGCCUAACACAUGCAAGUCGUGCGAGAAAGUUCCUUCGGGAGCGAGUAAAGCGGCGCACGGGUGAGUAACACGUAGGUAACCUGCCCCCCAGUCUGGAACAACUAGAGGAAACUCUAGCUAAUGCCGGAUGAGACCACGAUCCCCUUCGGGGGUUGCGGCCAAAGAUGGCCUCUACUUGUAAGCUAUCGCUGAGGGAUGGGCCUGCGGGCCAUUAGCUUGUUGGUGAGGUAACGGCUCACCAAGGCUGUGAUGGCUAGCUGGUCUGAGAGGAUGACCAGCCACACUGGGACUGAGACACGGCCCAGACUCCUACGGGAGGCAGCAGUGGGAAUAUUGCGCAAUGGGCGAAAGCCUGACGCAGCGACGCCGCGUGGG